UAGGGAAUCUUCCACAAUGGACGCAAGUCUGAUGGAGCAACGCCGCGUGAGUGAAGAAGGUUUUCGGAUCGUAAAGCUCUGUUGUUGGUGAAGAAGGAUAGAGGUAGUAACUGGCCUUUAUUUGACGAUAAUCAACCAGAAAGUCACGGCUAACUACGUGCCAGCAGCCGCGGUAAUACGUAGGUGGCAAGCGUUGUCCGGAUUUAUUGGGCGUAAAGCGAGCGCAGGCGGAAGAAUAAGUCUGAUGUGAAAUCCCUCGGCUUAACCGAGGAACUGCAUCGGAAACUGUUUUUCUUGAGUGCAGAAGAGGAGAGUGGAAUUCCAUGUGUAGCGGUGGAAUGCGUAGAUAUAUGGAAGAACACCAGUGGCGAAGGCGACUCUCUGGUCUGCAACUGACGCUGAGGCUCGAAAGCAUGGGUAGCGAACAGG
rnacentral:rRNA from 1 species